rnacentral:tRNA from 1 species
GCAGUCGUGGCCCAAUGGUUAAGGCGAUGGAAUAGAAAUCUAUUGGGGUGUUCCCGCGCAGGUUCGAAUCCUGCCGACUGCG